rnacentral:tRNA from 1 species
GGGCGAAUAGCUCAGGGGGAGAGCACCUGCCUUACAAGCAGGGGGCCGUAGGUUCAAAUCCUACUUCGCCCACCA